UAUAUAGAACAAAUUCUUGGU
rnacentral:piRNA from 1 species